AUAAAUACAUAGAAACGCCAACAUAUACAUAUAAAGCAAAAACUUGACAAUCUUUCUAAGACAAUGGGAGCUGACAUCAACCUGAAGAGAUAAGCAAAUCAAUUUGACGACACAUAUACAUACGAUAAUACAAGGAUAAUACAAGCUCGGAUUGUUGCCCAAAAUAAAAUAAAUACAUAUAAAUUUCAAUUUUUAAGAUCAGUUACGUUUGAUACAUUUUAAUAAUUAAAGGUUGCCGUCAAGAAUGAACCAAUACCUUGAUCAACUAAGUAUUUUCAUUGACUUAAAGCCUAACAAAUUGAGUCACUUCUUCAUAGGGUAGGGUCUCUCUACCGCUUUUGCCGUGCUCUCGAUCAACCACUGAUAAGAUGAAACUUUUAAAAGCUCGUAUUGAAAUAUAAGUUCGAUUUGGCACCAGGUUUCAUUCGUAAUUUAACUUUUGCUCAAUUGUGUUCCAAUCGAAAAAAGUGUCAGUAAGACCAAUCAACGCUGAAAAAAUGAGUAUACAAAGAUAUGGAGACAGAUCGCAGGAUGUAGAACCUUUCGAGGAAGGAAUCAGUGAUAUUAUAAUGAUGCUUUCAAAUACGAGAAUAGGCGUCCGAGCAGAAUCUAAUGGAAGAACUCGGCGAAGAGAGCAACGUUUUAUAAGAAUGGGUGAAAAUAGCAGAGGACAAAAUGUCGUAAAGGAGAUCGAUCGAGGAAUCUUGUGAUUGGCCAGACAGAGCUGAAGUGGAAUGUAUUUUAAUGUGAAUGGAAUAAAUAAAUAUUUUGUGAACAUAAAAGUUA